GGCCCUGCUGCCUUGUCCUCCAUGCCUGACAGACCGUAAAGCUCUCCGGGAUAGAUGGAGGCAGCAGCCUGUGCCAGCUCAACAGCUCUUGUUGUAUGGUAACAGGCUCCUCUACACUUUCUGACACACCGGCCUUGCUGAGCUAAAGCAUGCGGUAUUAAACUUCCUGCAGGCCCCUAAAACUUCCAGAAGUCGGCUUUUUGUUUGUUCUAGGUUAUCUGCCCAGGGGAUUUGCAGUAGAGAUUCUCAUCAGAGAGGCUCCUCUGCCUGUCAUGCCUUUCAUGUCAUUAAAAGGUGGUUGUGAUCCACCAUGUGGUUGCUGGGAUUUGAACUCUGGACCUUCAGAAGAGCAGUCAGUGUUUUUGCCCACUGAGCCAUCUCGCCAGCCCCCUGUCUUUACUUCUUGUUGAUGCGUGUCCAUCUCUUCCUUCACAGCCACCACCACUACCCUUCAGUGCUAUCAGAACUCAGCUGCUUGCUUGACACAUCUGGAGAGCAGAAGUUGUGAGACACGAGGCUUCAGGAGAGCAUUUGAAUCUGUGGGGACUGAAGAAAGAGACAUCUUGGCCUCGGGGAAUGGGGAAUAGCACCACAGGUCAAGUGAUGGGUGGGUGUGGGCCAGGAGCUAGUGCAUAACGGACGGACCACCAGACAGAAGAAACUGUUGUUAUAUGAAGCCUUACGUCUUUCCAGCAGCGCUAGGCUGGUUCGAUGAGCAGAUGGAAGACUCUCUGGGAAGCAGAACAAAACAGGCCGCCAGUGAAUUUACAAGCCUGAGUGAUCCGAGGAGGCUGGCAGUUGUAAGGACUGAAGAGAGACAUGAAGCCUGUUUGUAUGUGUAAAAGGGCCUGGCAGCCAAACAGACUCAGGAGACAGGAAUGAAAACCGGAUCCCAGACCCAGGCCUGGGUAGGAGGGAGAAUAACAACAAUCUUGUGACUGGCGCUUAGACAGCACCCGCUCCUCUUGCAGACACACUCAGGUAAAGACAUCCCUCAGGAGAGGCAGAAACAGGUCUGAAAAUGACUCCAGCGUUCCUGCAAAUUCAAAGGAGAUGUUCCUUUUUACAGCUC
rnacentral:lncRNA from 1 species